rnacentral:rRNA from 1 species
UGCGUAGGCGGGCUAAUAAGUCAGUGGUGAAAUCUCUCGGCUCAACCGGGAAACUGCCAUUGAUACUGUUAGUCUUGAGUUCGGUUGAGGUAGGCGGAAUGUGUAAUGUAGCGGUGAAAUGCUUAGAUAUUACACAGAACACCAAUUGCGUAGGCAGCUUACUAGACCGACACUGACGCUGAGGUACGAAAGCGUGGGUAGCGAACAGGAUUAGAUACCCUGGUAGUCC